AUUGAACGCUGGCGGCAGGCCUAACACAUGCAAGUCGAGCGGAUGACGGGAGCUUGCUCCUUGAUUCAGCGGCGGACGGGUGAGUAAUGCCUAGGGAUCUGCCUGGUAGUGGGGGACAACGUUUCGAAAGGAACGCUAAUACCGCAUACGUCCUUUGGGAGAAAGCAGGGGACAUUCGGGCCUUGCGCUAUCAGAUGAGCCUAGGUCGGAUUAGCGAGGUGGUGAGGUAAUGGCUCACCAAGGGGACGAUCCGUAACUGGUCUGAGAGGAUGAUCAGUCACACUGGAACUGAGACACGGUCCAGACUCCUACGGGAGGCAGCAGUGGGGAAUAUUGGACAAUGGGCGAAAGCCUGAUCCAGCCAUGCCGCGUGUGUGAAGAAGGUCUUCGGAUUGUAAAGCACUUUAAGUUGGGAGGAAGGGCAGUAAGCUAAUACCUUGCUGUUUUGACGUUACCGACAGAAUAAGCACCGGCUAACUCUGUGCCAGCCGCCGCAGUAAGAC
rnacentral:rRNA from 1 species